rnacentral:rRNA from 1 species
GAUGAACGCUGGCGGCGUGCCUAAUACAUGCAAGUCGAGCGAACGGACGAGAAGCUUGCUUCUCCGAUGUUAGCGGCGGACGGGUGAGUAACACGUGGAUAACCUACCUAUAAGACUGGGAUAACUUCGGGAAACCGUAGCUAAUACCGGAUAAUAUUUUGAACCGCAUGGUUCAAAAGUGAAAGACGGUCUUGCUGUCACUUAUAGAUGGAUCCGCGCUGCAUUAGCUAGUUGGUAAGGUAACGGCUUACCAAGGCAACGAUGCAUAGCCGACCUGAGAGGGUGGUCGGCCACACUGGAACUGAGACACGGUCCAGACUCCUACGGGAGGCAGCAGUAGGGAAUCUUCCGCAAUGGGCGAAAGCCUGACGGAGCAACGCCGCGUGAGUGAUGAAGGUCUUCGGAUCGUAAAACUCUGUUAUUAGGGAAGAACAUAUGUGUAAGUAACUGUGCACAUCUUGACGGUACCUAAUCAGAAAGCCACGGCUAACUACGUG